UACGGAGGGUGCAAGCGUUGUCCGGAUUUAUUGGGAUUAAAGGGUGCGUAGGCGGUUAAUUAAGUCAGUGGUGAAAUCCUGGAGCUCAACUUCAGAACUGCCAUUGAUACUGGUUGACUUGAGUACAGACGAGGUUGGCGGAAUUGAUGGUGUAGCGGUGAAAUGCAUAGAUACCAGCAAGAACACCGAUUGCGAAGGCAGCUAACUAGGCUGUAACUGACGCUGAGGCACGAAAGUGUGGGGAUCAAACAGG
rnacentral:rRNA from 1 species